rnacentral:rRNA from 1 species
CCUACGGGGGGCAGCAGUUAGGAAUAUUCGUCAAUGGGGGAAACCCUGAUGGUGCGACGCCGCGUGGGGGAAUGAAGGUCUUCGGAUUGUAAACCCCUGUCAUGUGGGAGCAAAUUAAAAAGAUAGUACCACAAGAGGAAGAGACGGCUAACUCUGUGCCAGCAGCCGCGGUAAUACAGAGGUCUCAAGCGUUGUCCGGAAUCACUGGGCGUAAAGCGUGCGUAGGCUGUUUCGUAAGUCGUGUGUGAAAGGCGCGGGCUCAACCCGCGGACGGCACAUGAUACUGCGAGCCUAGAGUAAUGGAG